GAUGAACGCUGGCGGCGUGCCUAAUACAUGCAAGUAGAACGCUGAAGGAGGAGCUUGCUCUUCUGGAUGAGUUGCGAACGGGUGAGUAACGCGUAGGUAACCUGCCUGGUAGCGGGGGAUAACUAUUGGAAACGAUAGCUAAUACCGCAUGACAACAGUUAUUGCAUGAUAACUGUUUAAAAGGGGCAACUGCUCCACUACCAGAUGGACCUGCGUUGUAUUAGCUAGUUGGUGAGGUAACGGCUCACCAAGGCGACGAUACAUAGCCGACCUGGGAGGGGGAUCGGCCACCCUGGGACUGAGACACGGCCCAGACUCCUACGGGAGGCAGCAGUAGGGAAUCUUCGGCAAUGGACGGAAGUCUGACCGAGCAACGCCGCGUGAGUGAAGAAGGUUUUCGGAUCGGAAAGCUCUGUUGUAAGAGAAGAACGAGUGUGAGAGUGGAAAGUUCACACUGUGACGGUAUCUUACCAGAAAGGGACGGCUAACUACGUG
rnacentral:rRNA from 1 species